rnacentral:lncRNA from 1 species
AUGUUGAAGUCAAAUUACACACUGGUACUGGCACUAAGGGGUAUGAAAGGAAGGAUCUUCCUUCUAAAAUCAGACAGCCCAUGCAGUCCAAACAAAGUGAUAGGUUAUGUAGUUACUUUUUCUUCUGUCAUACAGCCUGUUUCACAAGUCAGAAUGCGUAGGAAGGAGAGCAAGGAGGAAUCCCUGAAGUAUUCCACUGGAAGCACAGCUGAAGCAAAUGUCAAGAAAACUGUGGAAACCCCCAGCAAAUGCACUAGGCUCCUGGAAAUGCAACCAAGGCUACCAAAUGAAAAAAAAAAAAAAACAAACAACAAAUGAUGGACCCGUAUGAGACUGUGAUCAAGCCAGGCCAGCUCAACCCAGACACAAUGAAGGCAAAUUACAGCACAGGCAGGCUGGGAGCAACCACCAGAAGAGCUGGAAAAGGUUGUAUUAAAACCUCUCAGAUCUGAAUAGAGGGAUUACUCCUGGUUAUAAAAAGAGUCCACACAUUAUAAGUGUGCAAUUACUUCAGAAGAGCAAUUCUGCUCUAAUUGACCCAAAAAGGCAGUUAGCCGCUCAGGCAGCUGGCUGGGGACAAUGGGGCCGAAAAGAAAAGAAAAAACAAAACAGCCCUGCAUAAGAUUAGAUUACGUUUUUUUAUUACCCACGUUAAACAACAACCUCCUGCCUUUACUCCAGGUGACUGCUGGGUGGCUGUUUGAGUUGUUCUUGACUUGCUUUCCUGGGGGUGGUGCAGCAUGCCAGAAAUAAUGCGAUUAUUUGGCAACUGUGGAUCAGAACAUAAAGCUACAAUGCAGGUAUCUUAGAAGAGUCAGAGUUGCUCUUGAUUCACAAUCCACAGGUGUCAAACAGGCAAUUUUUCUUCUGUAGCUGAUUUUACGUAUGACCUCUUCUACUGGAAGUAGACUGUCACAGACGUACCUAAGUCUCUCUCACAUCAGGCUCCACUUGUUGUGAUGUGUUUUUUCUAAGACUGAAACUGAAGUCAUCUGGAUAGGAUGCCUGAAAGAAUGAAUACGAUGGUUUAAGUAACUGGGGUCUUCCCAAGCUCCUAGGCUUGUCAGAUGUUGAGGAAUUUAAAUAUAUUAUCUUAAAAAAAAUGAAUGUAUUUAAACUAUUUCUUUGUUUGUUUUGUUUUGUCUGGAAGGCCUUGCUUUUGAUUAAAUAAGCCCUUGAGAAAGGUCUGUAAGUAUUUGUACCCUUCGUCAUAGCUAGCAAUUUAAAUAGAAAGAGAACUGGAGGUACUGUGCCCAAGUUUUAGAGCAAGGUUGUAACUGGGUAUUCCAUGUUGAGGCUCACUACAUGAAAGGAAAAC